rnacentral:rRNA from 1 species
UAAAAAAAACCAAAAAUACAAAAAAAGAUUGGUGGGAAAAGAAGAAAUUUUUUUUUUUGGGGGGUUUUUUUAGUGGGGGGGCGCCGGGGGGGGGGUGUAAAAAAAUGGGGGGAGAAUUUUCCCUUAAAAGGGUUUGGGGAAAUAAACUGGGGGGAAAACUUUUUGGCUAAUUCCCGGGAUGUUUCCCGUAAGGGAAAAAAAUUUUAUUGCCUUUUAGAGGAGCCCCCCCCUAGGAUUAGUUUGUUGGGGAAGUAAGAAGCUCCCCCCAAGGCUUCGGAUCUAUAGCUGAUUUGAGAGGAGGAUCACCCCCCCUGGGACUGAGAACACGGCCCAGAUUCCUCCGGGAGGCAGCAGUGGGGAAUAUUGGACAUGGGGGGAAAACCCUGAUCCAGCAAUGCCGCGUGAGUGAAGAAAGCCUUCGGGGUUGUAAAACUCUUUCAUCAAUGAAGAUAAUGACAUUAAUUGAAGAAGAAGCUCCGGCUAACUCCGUGCCAGCAGCCGCGGUAAUACGGAGGGGGCUAGCGUUGUUCGGAAUCACUGGGCGUAAAGCGUAUGUAGGCGGAUCAAAAAGUUAGAUGUGAAAUCCCUGGGCUUAACCUAGGAACUGCAUUUAAAACUAGUGAUCUAGAAUUUGGUAGAGGUCAGUAGAAUUUCCAGUGUAGAGGUGAAAUUCGUAGAUAUUGGAAAGAAUACCAGUGGCGAAGGCGACUAACUGGGCCAUUUUUGACGCUGAGAUACGAAAGCGUGGGUAGCAAACAGGAUUAGAUACCCUGGUAGUCCACGCAGUAAACGAUGAGUGCUAGUCGCUGGGUCAAUAGAUUCGGUGUCGAAGCUAACGCAUUAAGCACUCCGCCUGGGAAGUACGGUCGCAAGAUUAAAACUCAAAUAAAUUGACGGGGGCCCGCACAAGCGGUGGAGCAUGUGGUUUAAUUCGAAGCAACGCGAAGAACCUUACCAGACCUUGACAUGGUAUGUUUGAAUUACAGAAUCGUAAUUCUUCAGUUCGGCUGGCAUACACACAGGUGCUGCAUGGCUGUCGUCAGCUCGUGUCGUGAGAUGUUGGGUUAAGUCCCGCAACGAGCGCAACCCUCAUCUUUAGUUGCCAGCAGGUUAAGCUGGGCACUCUAAAGAAACUGCCGGUGAUAAGCUGGAGGAAGGCGGGGAUGACGUCAAGUCCUCAUGGCCCUUACGGUCUGGGCUACACACGUGCUACAAUGGUGGUGACAGUGGGCAGCUAUGUCGCGAGACAAAGCUAAUCCCAAAAAGCCAUCUCAGUUCAGAUUGGACUCUGCAACUCGAGUCCAUGAAGUUGGAAUCGCUAGUAAUCGUAGAUCAGCAUGCAGCUGUAUUUGGGCUU